UGACCAACCUGCCCCUAACUCUGGGAUAACCCCGGGAAACCGGAGCUAAUACCGGAUACGAGACCGAGUGGCAUCACACGGUCUGGAAAGUUUUUCGGUUAGAGAUGGGAUCGCGGCCUAUCAGCUUGUUGGUGGGGUAAUGGCCUACCAAGGCGACGACGGGUAGCCGGCCUGAGAGGGCGACCGGCCACACUGGGACUGAGACAUGGCCCAGACUCCUACGGGAGGCA
rnacentral:rRNA from 1 species